GAAAGUGGCCAGCGGCAGCAAGAACUGCUAAUUCUUGUACCCGCAGUUGAAUUCUGCGGCUCAUUCA
rnacentral:tRNA from 1 species